rnacentral:sRNA from 1 species
GCUGGGCAUGGUGGUGCAUGACUGUAAUCCCAGUGGCUCAGGAGGCUGAGGCAGGAGGAUCUUGGGUUCAAAGCCAGCCUUCAGCAUCUUAUCGAGGCCCUAAGCAACUCAGUGAGACCCUCUCUCUA